UGCUGAAACUAACACUGUUAAGCUUCUGUCUUUGUAGGGACUAAAAUCACACAAAAUAUAUUAAUUGAAGGUUGAAAUUGCUAAGUUGGAAUAACUUAAGGACUAAAAUCGGAAUUAAGCAAUAACACAGGGACCAAAAAUGCUAUUUCCCCUACUAAAAAUAAUGAACCAUUUCUGUCAUUUUCUCGUACAAUUUUUGGAAAUAGCGAGUAAAUACAAGGACACAAACGUAAAACGAGGACACACAAUAGGGUACUACAAAAUAACCUAAUUGUGCUGAAAAGAAAAUCUCAUGAACUCUUAGACGGAAAGAACGAGGCAAAGAGAGAGGUAUUUGGGGAGUCUUUAAUGGUGGUUGCCCUCUCUCUCUUUGCCUAUGAUUUCCCUUUUCCCAUUUUGCUCAGAAGAAAACGAAAUAAUAAACCGCCAUUGAAGAGUCUGUUUGGUUAAGCUGUUGUUCUGAAACUUUCGAUGAAAAUUGCAAGUUUCUACAGUAAAGCUUAUACUGUCGGGAGAGAAGUGGCCAAGCUCAAAAAGGAUUCUUACAAUGUGAAGCACAAGUUUGCAAGCAAUGUGAAAAACAACUGAAGUGAUGUGAAGCUUUUAGAUUAAUCUAGGCAAUUUUUUGUGAUGGUAUCAUGCAAAUGUCAAAUGGAGCUUCUACUUUGCUCUGUUAGAUUGUAGAAAUCAUUGCUGUACGACAUGUGUUUUCUAGAUGUUCAUGAGCCGAAAAUCUUUCCCUUCUCUUUGUUUGUUCAUCUCGCCAUCUUUAAUGUGUGAAAGACUUGUGGCAAAUAGCUGAAUUGCUUACAUACUAUUAUGCUUCUCCGAAGCAAGAUUAGUACACUA